rnacentral:rRNA from 1 species
CAGUCGCCGCGGGAAUACGGAGGGGGCUAGCGUUGUUCGGAAUUACUGGGCGUAAAGCGCACGUAGGCGGCUUGGUAAGUUAGAGGUGAAAGCCUGGAGCUCAACUCCAGAAUUGCCUUUAAGACUGCCGAGCUAGUAGGUGAGAGAGGUAAGUGGAAUUCCGAGUGUAGAGGUGAAAUUCGUAGAUAUUCGGAAGAACACCAGUGGCGAAGGCGGCUUACUGGCUCAUUCUAGACGCUGAGGUGCGAAAGCGUGGGGAGCAAACAGGAUUAGAUACCCCUGUAGUCCCUGUCUCUUAUAC